ensembl:lncRNA
CAGCUAGGCGCUGCUGCUUCCAGAAAACCAGUCCUCACUGGUGCAGAGAUGGAGAACAUCAGGUGAAGAAGGAAGGUCAAAAAUGCCUCUGCCUGCAGGCCUGCUUUGUUAAACUUUGAUGUUCUCCAGAUGUUCAGCAAGGGAUUUAUGUAACUACGACAGAAUUUGGGCCAUAUUUCUCUGUUUUCCUCUGAGCAAACUCUCCUCAUUUGAGACUGUGCUGAUUCACAGCCCUUCACGGGAUGAUGAUGUCUUGAGGAGAGGGACAUCACUGAGGCUGCUUUAUCAGUCCAUUGAGACUCCCAGAUACAUACCCUACAAGCAACAAACAAAAAUAACAGCAGCACAGCAGGCUGGGGCAGCUCCUCAGAGGCACUGUCCUGGAUGGCACAGGAAUGCUGGAGAACACAGGACCAUGGUGGUGAUGUUCCAUGAACCAGUUUCCCUGGUCCAUAGGAAACCUUGAUCUGCAUGGAGCCCCUGUGGAGGGACUGGGCUCCAAGGCUGGGGCUACGAUGUUGAGUUGAGAGAAAAGAGGAGGGAUGGACACUUGAUGAGAUUGGAGCCCAAGCCAUGAAGGGGCAGGCGCAAAUCUCUUGGGACCUGUAGCAAUGAAAAGCUCUGGAAGGCAUGUGGAAGAAGGGAAGCUGCAACCAAGUGGCUCAGCAGUUGCCUCUCCAAGAAGCUAAGAGUGGACUCCAAGGACUGUUGAUAUACCUCCAAAGACAGUAAUUGUUGCUGUUCAUUUUCUAUUUCAUUGUCUUUCCUCUUCAUUUAAACACUUUCUUACCCACGUGACUUUUUGGGUGUGAAGAAAAUCAGUUCACAAACUGUAGGCUGGCAAAAGGAGUCACUAAGACAAUCAAAACAAUUCUGGAGAAACUCGAGCCACUGUAAGUAGACUUUUCAGUCUGCCUAGUGACAGCUGUUUUUGCUUGCAACUUGAUAUGCAACUGCACGUCUUCAUCUACAUGCUAACCCUGAUCUGGCAGGGAGCAACCAACACACAGUAGGGGCAUUGGAAAUGGAUGGACUUUAAGGUUCCUUCCAAUCCUGGCUGUUCUGUGGUUCUAUGAUUCCAUGACUUUAUGGAGAUCCUCAGUUCUGCUAAGAGAUGAGGUUCUGCCAUGAACCUGAGGUGUCACAGGGAAAGUUU